rnacentral:rRNA from 1 species
UACGUAGGGUGCAAGCGUUAUCCGGAAUUAUUGGGCGUAAAGAGCUCGUAGGCGGUUUGUCGCGUCUGCUGUGAAAACUGGGGGCUCAACCCCCAGCCUGCAGUGGGUACGGGCAGACUAGAGUGCGGUAGGGGAGAUUGGAAUUCCUGGUGUAGUGGUGAAAUGCGUAGAGAUGCGGAGGAACACCAGUGGCGAAAGCGACUUUCUGGUCCUUAACUGACGCUGAGGCGCGAAAGCAUGGGGAGCGAACGGG